GACCUCAAAUCAGGUAGGGCUACCCGCUGAACUUAAGCAUAUCAAUAAGCGGAGGAAAAGAAACUAACAAGGAUUCCCCUAGUAACGGCGAGCGAACAGGGAAGAGCUCAAAUUUGAAAUCUGGCGUCCUCAGGGCGUCCGAGUUGUAAUCUAUAGAGAUGUUUUCCGUGCCGGACCGUGUCCAAGUCCCUUGGAACAGGGUAUCAGAGAGGGUGACAAUCCCGUACUCGACACGACGACCGGCGCUCUGUGAUACGUCUUCUACGAGUCGAGUUGUUUGGGAAUGCAGCUCAAAAUGGGUGGUGAGUUCCAUCUAAGGCUAAAUAUUGGCGAGAGACCGAUAGCGAACAAGUACCGUGAGGGAAAGAUGAAAAGCACUUGGAAAGAGAGUAAA
rnacentral:rRNA from 1 species